rnacentral:rRNA from 1 species
GGGCCCGCACAAGCGGAGGAACAUGUGGUUUAAUUCGAUGAUACGCGAGGAACCUUACCCGGGCUUGAAAUGAGGAGGAAUAACUGUGAAAGUAGUUAGUCAGCAAUGACCUCCUUGUAGGUGCUGCAUGGUUGUCGUCAGCUCGUGCCGUGAGGUGUCGGCUUAAGUGCCACAACGAGCGCAACCCUUAUCACUGGUUGCCAGCGGGUAAUGCCGGGGACUUCAGUGAGACUGCCACCGUAAGGUGUGAGGAAGGUGGGGAUGACGUCAAAUCAGCACGGCCCUUACGUCCGGGGCGACACACGUGUUACAAUGGGCGGUACAGAGGGUCGCUACUUAGUAAUAAGAUGCUAAUCUCUAAAGCCCGCUCCCAGUUCGGAUUGGAGUCUGCAACUCGACUCCAUGAAGUUGGAUUCGCUAGUAAUCGCAUAUCAGCCAUGAUG